rnacentral:rRNA from 1 species
AAGGGGAGCAAUCUCCUGAGUACAGCGGCGUACGGGUGAGUAACACGUGGGUAAUCUACCUUUUAGUGGGGAAUAACCCUGGGAAACCGGGGCUAAUACCGCAUAAUCCUGUGAAGGGAAAGCAGCAAUGCGCUGAAAGAGGAGCCCGCGGCCGAUUAGCUAGUUGGUGAGGUAACGGCCCACCAAGGCGACGAUCGGUAGCCGGCCUGAGAGGGCACACGGCCACACUGGCACUGAAACACGGGCCAGACUCCUACGGGAGGCAGCAGUGGGGAAUCUUGCACAAUGGGGGAAACCCUGAUGCAGCGACGCCGCGUGAGCGAUGAAGCCCCUCGGG